rnacentral:rRNA from 1 species
AUUGAACGCUGGCGGCAGGCUUAACACAUGCAAGUCGAGCGGGGGAUGUUGCUUCGGUAACUGACCUAGCGGCGGACGGGUGAGUAAUGCUUAGGAAUCUGCCUAUUAGUGGGGGACAACAUUCCGAAAGGAAUGCUAAUACCGCAUACGCCCUACGGGGGAAAGCAGGGGAUCUUCGGACCUUGCGCUAAUAGAUGAGCCUAAGUCAGAUUAGCUAGUUGGUGGGGUAAAGGCCUACCAAGGCGACGAUCUGUAGCGGGUCUGAGAGGAUGAUCCGCCACACUGGGACUGAAACACGGCCCAGACUCCUACGGGAGGCAGCAGUGGGGAAUAUUGGACAAUGGGCGGAAGCCUGAUCCAGCCAUGCCGCGUGUGUGAAGAAGGCCUUUUGGUUGUAAAGCACUUUAAGCGAGGAGGAGGCUACCGAGACUAAUACUCUUGGAUAGUGGACGUUACUCGCAGAAUAAGCACCGGCUAACUCUGUGCCAGCCGCCGCCGUAAAAC